rnacentral:rRNA from 1 species
AUUGAACGCUGGCGGCAGGCCUAACACAUGCAAGUCGAACGAGUGGCGGACGGGUGAGUAAUGUCUGGGAAACUGCCCGAUGGCGGGGGAUAACUACUGGAAACUGUAGCUAAUACCGCAUACCAUCCUGUGUGCCCAGAUGGGAUUGGAUUGUAGGUGGGGUAACGCCUCACCUAGGCGACGCUCCCUAGCUGGUCUGAGAGGAUGGCCAGCCAAACUGGAACUGAGACACGGUCCAGACUCCUACGGUAGGCAGCAGUGGGGAAUAUUGCACAAUGGGCGCAAGCCUGAUGCAGCCAUGCCGCGUGUAUGAAGAAGGCCUUCGGGUUGUAAAGUACUUUCAGCGAGGAGGCGUUACUCGCAGAAGAAGCACCGGCUAACUCCGUGCCAGCAGCCGCGGUAAUUC